GAUGAACGCUAGCUACAGGCUUAACACAUGCAAGUCGAGGGGCAGCAUGAACUUAGCUUGCUAAGUUUGAUGGCGACCGGCGCACGGGUGAGUAACACGUAUCCAACCUGCCGAUGACUCGGGGAUAGCCUUUCGAAAGAAAGAUUAAUACCCGAUGGCAUAGUUCUUCCGCAUGGUAGAACUAUUAAAGAACUUCGGUCAUCGAUGGGGAUGCGUUCCAUUAGGUUGUUGGCGGGGUAACGGCCCACCAAGCCUUCGAUGGAUAGGGGGUUCUGAGAGGAAGGUCCCCCCACAUUGGAACUGAGACACGGUCCAAACUCCUACGGGAGCAGCAGUGAGGAAUAUUGGUCAAUGGACGAGAGUCUGAACCAGCCAAGUCGCGUGAAGGAAGAAGGAUCUAUGGUUUGUAAACUUCUUUUAUAGGGGAAUAAAGUGGAGGACGUGUCCUUUUUGUAUGUACCCUAUGAAUAAGCAUCGGCUAACUCCGUG
rnacentral:rRNA from 1 species